GCAAGGAUGAGCCUCACUUGGUAGAACAUGAGACCCUUAAUCUCAGGGUUGUAGGUUUAAGCCCCACAGGCAACAAGAUUCCUGCA